UGUGAAGAUGCAGUGUACCCGCGGCAAGACGGAAAGACCCCGUGAACCUUUACUAUAGCUUGACACUGAACAUUGAGCCUUGAUGUGUAGGAUAGGUGGGAGGCUUUGAAGUGUGGACGCCAGUCUGCAUGGAGCCGGCCUUGAAAUACCACCCUUUAAUGUUUGAUGUUCUAACGUGGACCCGUAAUCCGGGUUGCGGACAGUGUCUGGUGGGUAGUUUGACUGGGGCGGUCUCCUCCUAAAGAGUAACGGAGGAGCACGAAGGUUGGCUAAUCCUGGUCGGACAUCAGGAGGUUA
rnacentral:rRNA from 1 species